AGCAGCCGCGGUAAUUCCAGCUCCAAUAGCGUAUAUUAAAGUUGUUGCAGUUAAAAAGCUCGUAGUUGAAUUUCGGGAUCAAUAUAUUGGUCAUGCUUAGGUAUGUACUGGUAUUAUUGAUUUCUCCCUUCUGAAGAACCAUAAUGUCAUUAAUUUGAUGUCAUGGGGAAUCAGGACUGUUACUUUGAAAAAAUUAGAGUGUUUAAAGCAGGCUUUCGCUUGAAUACAUUAGCAUGGAAUAAUGAAAUAGGACGUUUGAUUCUAUUUUGUUGGUUUCUAGGAUCGACGUAAUGAUUAAUAGGGAUAGUUGGGGGCAUUAGUAUUCAAUUGUCAGAGGUGAAAUUCUUGGAUUUAUUGAAGACUAACUACUGCGAAAGCAUUUGCCAAGGAUGUUUUCAUUAAUCAAGAACGAAAGUUAGGGGAUCGAAGACGAUCAGAUACCGUCGUAGUCUUAACCAUAAACUAUGCCGACUAGGGAUCGGAUGAUGUUAAUUUUUAAUGACUCAUUC
rnacentral:rRNA from 1 species